rnacentral:rRNA from 1 species
CAGCAGCCGCGGUAAUACGGAGGGUGCGAGCGUUAAUCGGAAUUACUGGGCGUAAAGCGUACGCAGGCGGUUUGUUAAGUCAGAUGUGGAAUCCCCGAGCUUAACUCGGGAACUGCAUUUGAAACUGGCAGGCUAGAGUCUCGUAGAGGGGGGUAGAAUUCCAGGUGUAGCGGUGAAAUGCGUAGAGAUCUGGAGGAAUACCGAUGGCGAAGGCAGCCCCUUGGGCCAAUACUGACGCUCAUGCACGAAAGCGUGGGGAGCAAACAGGAUUAGAUACCCCUGUAGUCCCUGUCUCUUAUAC